rnacentral:rRNA from 1 species
UUAGCCAUGCAAGUCUCAGUACAUGCCGCACUAAGGUGAAACCGCAAAAGGCUCAUUAAAUCAGUUAUGGUUCCUUGGAUCUUAAACAGUUACUUGGAUAACUGUGGUAAUUCUAGAGCUAAUACAUGCAAACAAGUCCCGACCAGAGAUGGGAGGGACGCUUUUAUUAGAUCAAAACCGAUCGGCGUCCGGCUCCGGCCGGCGCCGUCUCUUUUGGUGACUCUGGAUAACUUUUAGCCGAUCGCACGGUCACAGUACCGGCGACGCAUCUUUCAAAUGUCUGACUUAUCAACUGUCGAUGGUAGGCUCUGCGCCUACCAUGGUUGUAACGGGUAACGGGGAAUCAGGGUUCGAUUCCGGAGAGGGAGCCUGAGAAACGGCUACCACAUCCAAGGAAGGCAGCAGGCGCGCAAAUUACCCACUCCCGGCACGGGGAGGUAGUGACGAAAAAUAACGAUACGGGACUCAUCCGAGGCCCCGUAAUCGGAAUGAGUACACUUUAAAUACUUUAACGAGUACCAAUUGGAGGGCAAGUCUGGUGCCAGCAGCCGCGGUAAUUCCAGCUCCAAUAGCGUAUAUUAAAGUUGUUGCGGUUAAAAAGCUCGUAGUUGGAUCUGUGUGCCACGCUGUCGGUUCACCGCCCGUCGGUGUCAACUGGCAUGUCUGUGGGACGUCCUGCCGGUGGCGGUACGGGCUGCCGGCGCUGCGUAGGGGCACAACCCCGAAGCACGCCGGCGUGUCCCGGUCCGCCGAUCCAAUCCCGCCGCGGUGCUCUUCACUGAGUGUCGAGGUGGGCCGGCACGUUUACUUUGAACAAAUUAGAGUGCUCAAAUCAGCGCGUAUUUAUGCCUGAAUACUGUGU